CAGCAGUUUAUCAGCUUUUUGGGGGCACAGUUCUAGGGAGAAGAUGUACUGUGUCUGAGCUGUCCAUGGUGCUUUCAGUGGCUGGGGACAGAUGCUGCACAGUUCUGCCACUGCAAAGCAGCCCAGAGAGACUGACUUCUGAGCCCAACGAUCCUGCACUGACAGCACCGCUGAUAAACCCGGGGAAGAGGCAGGAUGAGCCGCUGGAAGCGCUCCCUCCCCGGCCACUGAAGGGCUGCUUCCCAGAAGAUGGAGCUAUAUCCCUGAUAGAGCUGAUGGAGACCUUAGCUGGUGUGCACUGCCCAAGCCAGGAACGUGUCCUUGUGCAGCGGGACUGGCAGCCUGGGCUCUUCCUUUUCCCAGUGCCAAGUGUGCCCAGCUGAUGCUGCUCGUGGUGUGUGAG
rnacentral:lncRNA from 1 species